UACGGGGGAGCAAGCGUUGUUCGGAUUUACUGGCGUAAAGGGCGCGUAGGCGGCCACCGCAAGUCGACUGUGAAAUCUCCGGGCUUAACCGGAAAGGUCAGCCGAUACUGCGGGCUAGAGUGCAGAAGGGGCAACUGGAAUCCUCGGUGUAGCGGUGAAAUGCGUAGAUAUCGAGAGGAACACCUGCGGCGAAGGCGGGUUGCUGGGCUGACACUGACGCUGAGGCGCGACAGCGUGGGGAGCAAACAGG
rnacentral:rRNA from 1 species